rnacentral:antisense_RNA from 1 species
GAAACCAUGGCAUGGAGACGGAAUGAUGCAGACUCCUAUCUGCGAGACACCUGCUGUAGUUUCGCUGUGGUUCGUGAGGACGCGUCCUGGGCUGCCCUGAGAAGCCCACGUCUCCCCUUCGAGGCCUGGGAAGACCUCCGACCCCGCUGACAAUGCUGGGCCCUCGGCCAGACCUGCCUUGCGUGCCACUUUCUGUUCUAAGAUCGGGCUGCCGAGCUGUGGCCUGGAGGAAACCUGGCAGGUGGGGCUGCCAUGAGCAGCAAGCUCAGUCCAGAAGAGCAGUUCCUCUCCAGGAUCUACUUCCUGCGCACUUUUAUGUGCAGUGUAGCUGGAGCAGAGCUCCCCGGAAUUCCACAGGCAACUGAGAACGGAGAGGGAUGCAGGCCAGCCAGGGAUCCAGCGUCUUCCCCAUCACCACUCUCCAUGGUCUCCGUCUGCACACAGUGUCCCUCUGCACAACUUGUCAGCGCGUUAUCAUGACUUCUAUUUGGCCCCGGCCCGUCCAUCCCACUGUCCUGGCUUGUUCCAAGCGCU